rnacentral:misc_RNA from 1 species
GAUCAGGUCGCCACGAUCAUUGCGGAAACGUGCGACAUUCCUCGCGACACGAUCACCCCGGAAAGCCAUGCCAUCGACGAUCUGGGCAUCGACAGCCUCGACUUCCUCGAUAUCGCUUUCGCCAUCGACAAGGCGUUCGGCAUCAAGCUGCCGCUGGAGAAGUGGACGCAGGAGGUCAACGACGGCAAGGCCACGACCGAGCAGUACUUUGUCCUGAAGAACCUCAGCGCGCGCAUCGACGAACUGGUCGCCGCCAAGGGCGCCUGACGCCCC